rnacentral:rRNA from 1 species
AUCUGGGCGGCGGAAUUCAGGAUGGCGGGCGCGUCUUCGCGACGCGUUCGUCGUUUGAUAUUUCCGUCGCCGAACCUAACCGCAGACGUCGCGACCUGUUCGCGGUCGGUCCCUGCUCGGAGGAGCCGCGUUCGAGUUCGUUGUGUGCGCGUUUCUGCGCGUUACACGGCGAAGGCGCGGAUCUCUGUCCGGCCGACGGACAGUACGCUAAACGGUGUCCGAUGUCGUCGUCUCGUACGCGCGCGCAUCGGUACCGGUCGGCGACGAAUUCUUCGGGCCUCUUUCCGACCCGUCUUGAAACACGGACCAAGGAGUCUAACAUGCGCGCGAGUCGCGGGGUGUCGAGCGUACCACGGUGCGUUCGUUACGUUGCGAAACCCGUACAUGUCGAAGGCGUAAUGAAAGUAAAUGGGGAAGAUGGUGUUCCGAGUACACGUUCCGCGGUCAAUGAUGCCGCGGCCGGACACCCGCAUUCCCGGGGCGUCUCAACGGCCCGUCGCGAACGCGGACAGUCGUCUCUCGGGGCGGCUGUCGGUCUGCGACGAACCGA